GCGGGACCGGGUGCAGCGGCUGCAGAACGAGCUGAUCCGGAAAAACGACCGCGAGAAGGAGCUGGUGCUGCUCCAGCGGCGCCACCAGCAGCAGCAGCUGGCACUGAGCGGGUGCCAGCACAGGGCGGCCAAGGCCGGGGCGCUGGAGCGGGCGCUGCGGCAGCAGGAGAAGGUGAUCGAGGCCAUGGAGCGGCUGCUGCGGGAAAGGAGCACCGAGAGAGCCAUGGGUGCCACUGUGGCGGCACUGCUGGCCCAGACGCGGGAGGAGCCAGCCGGACCCCCCCGGGCCGCGGUGAGAGCGGGAGGGGACACGGGGCUGGCACAGGGGACAGAACCGGGCACGGCACCGCGGGUGGCAGCGGUGCCAGAGGUGACCCCGACGCGCUCCUGCCGUGCCCGCAGCGGCUCCUGGGGGCCACCGAGAAGCUGGAGCUGCUGGCCCGGCUGGAGGAGGCGCAGGGCCGGGCCCGGGUGCUGGAGAGGCAGCUGCAGGAGGCCGCCCGGAGCUGGGCCCGGGAGCAGCAGGAGCUGGGGAUGCGCCUGCGGGAGCGGGAGCACGGCCUGGCCCUGGUGAGCGUGGGGGACAGGGGGGACACCAGUGUCCCCAGUGACCCCAGUGUCCCCAAUGUCCCCAGUGACCUACAGUGACCUACAGUGACCCCCACGACCCCAGUGUCCUACAGGGACCUACAGUGACCCCGUGACCCCAAUGUCCCCAGUGACCCACAGCAUCCCCAGUGACCCCCAGUGUCCCCAGUUUCCCCAGUGCCCCCGAUGUCCCCAGUGUCCU
rnacentral:lncRNA from 1 species